GGACUCGGGGGGAAGUAUGCUCGCAAGAGUGAAACUUAAAGGAAUUGACGGAAGGGCACCACCAGAUGUGGAGCAUGCGGCUUAAUUUAACUCAACACGGGAAAACUUACCAGGCCAAGACAUAGUAAGGAUUGACAGAUUAAAGUUCUUUCUUGAUUCUAUGUAUAGUGGUGCAUGGCCGUUCUUAGUUGGUGGAGUGAUUUGUCUGGUUAAUUCCGAUAACGAACGAGACCUCAGCCAUCUAACUAGCUGCGGCUAACAUUGUUAGUUUUUGCGAAAGCAUUGCAGCUUCUUAGAGGGACAAUCUGCUGCCAGCAGAUGGAAGAUUGAGGCAAUAACAGGUCAGUGAUGCCCUUAGAAGGUCUGGGCUGCACGCGCGCUACAAUGAUGCACGCAACGAGUUCCCGGCUCGACAGGGCCGGGCAAUCAGCAAAGUGCAUCUUAGUGGGGAUAGACGAUUGCAAUUAUUCGUCUUGAACAAGGAAUAUCUAGUAAACACGAGUCAUCAACUCGUAUUGAUUACGUCCCUGCCCUUUGUACACACCGCCCGUCGCUCCUACCGAUUGAAUGCCGAGGUGAAUUGKAUGGAUGGAGGCUCCGGCUUCCAGAAGUUCUGUGAACCUUGUUAUUUAGAGGAAGGAGAAGUCGUAACAAGG
rnacentral:rRNA from 1 species